rnacentral:rRNA from 2 species
CAUACCUAUUCGAAGGGAUAGGGUCGGUUUGGCCGGAUCUCACACAGGUGUUGCAUGGCUGUCGUCAGCUCGUGUCGUGAGAUGUUGGGUUAAGUCCCGCAACGAGCGCAACCCUCAUCCUUAGUUACCAUCAGGUUAUGCUGGGGACUUUAAGGAAACUGCCAGUGAUAAACUGGAGGAAGGUGGGGAUGAUGUCAAGUCAUCAUGGCCCUUAUGGAGUGGGCUACACACGUGCUACAAUGGUGAUUACAAUGGGCUGCAAGGUCGUAAGGCUGAGCUAAUCCUAAAAAAUCAUCUCAGUUCGGAUUGUUCUCUGCAACUCGAGAGCAUGAAGUUGGAAUCGCUAGUAAUCGUGGAUCAGCAUGCCACGGUGAAUACGUUCUCGGGUCUUGUACACACUGCCCGUCACGCCAUGGGAAUUGGUUUCACUCGAAGCU